UACGAAGGGGCUAGCGUUGCUCGGAAUCACUGGGCGUAAAGGGUGCGUAGGCGGAUUGUUAAGUCGGGGGUGAAAUCCUGGAGCUCAAUUCCAGAACUGCCUUCGAUACUGGCAAUCUCGAGUCCGGAAGAGGUAAGUGGAACUCCUAGUGUAGAGGUGGAAUUCGUAGAUAUUAGGAAGAACACCAGUGGCGAAGGCGGCUUACUGGUCCGGUACUGACGCUGAGGUGCGAAAGCGUGGGGAGC
rnacentral:rRNA from 1 species